CUGAUUUUACGAUCAAUAUAUCUGCCAGCGUUCAAGUCAUGCAUAUCAACUGCGUGCUCAAUCUGCUGACAGAUAAUUUGCGGUCAUAGACAGACACUGCAUAAUACUCAAGGUUAAGUUGGAAGGGACAUAUAUAAGCAUGUCAUCUAAAAGGACGUAUCUCUCUGGUGCCCAAAAACGGAAAAAGAAAAGGACAGAAGAUGAGAAAAAAGAGCAAGAUAAAGGAACACUGUUGAAGUAUUUUGGAGCACAACCAACUGUACCUGCCCCCGAUGUGUCAUCAAGUGUCAGUGCCUCCACAGCUGAUGAUACAGCAGGUGAGGUUUUUCUUGAUGGCAAAUGGCUACAUAGUCUUUUAUUGUUAUUAGUAUUAAUAGCAAAGUUGGCCAAGCAAUAUCAUAUAAUGAUGUCAUCAAUGACUUUGCCUCCCGAAAAGCUAGGAAGGAAAGAUUUUGAGGACAGUUACAUUGUAUUGAGACAGUUGGGAAUAUUUUCACAAUAAUUGAUUGUUGAACCCUUGCUGUCAUGUUACUGACUUAUCAGUUUUGUUAUUAUCGUUUAUUUGAAUGUUUUGAAACAGUUUGAUUUUAGAAGUUCCAAAUAGUUAGUUUAAAAGGUUAAUUGAAUACUGAGUCACUUUCAUUAUUUAAUCUAUGUAUCUAUGUAACGUUCUAUUUUUUAUUAUAUUCAUGCUUGUCUAUUUUGGUUUUAUUUUGUAAUUGGAAAUUGCUAACUUAAUACGCAUUUGCACAGUUGCAAAUUAUUUAUUUAAUAUGUUUGUGAUCGUUUGUUUGGAAUACAGAGGCACUAUCAUUAUUUAUUUUUUUAUUUUUUAAUGUUAUUUUUGAUAAUACUAAUGUUUGUGUAUUUUGAUUUCAGUUUAAGAUUGCACAUUUACAAAUCUGUUGAAAGAUCUGUUUAUUAAACUGAUACUUUAAAAAAAAAUACAAAUGCUGUGGUAUUUAAUUAUUUUACAAUUUAACUUCAGUAAACCACACUUGAUGCUUUACUUUGAAUAUGAAAGUUUAAAAUAAAUCUGUGAUCUAAGUGCCCUCUAAGGUUAAAAGGUGACUGUUUUGGUGUAAAUAACGACUAUAAUAAUACAGGGGUCUAUCAAGGGACAAAAGUCUAGAAUAUU